rnacentral:rRNA from 1 species
AUGCGCCCCAACCGCGGCCUCCUGUUCAACGUCGACCGCGGGCUGGAGCUGCUGCUGGCCUCCGAGCCUUCCGAGCAGGCGAUGCGUUCCUUCUCGCUGCGAGACCCGCGCUGGAUGGACCACCACGUAUGGUACCCGGGCUGGCUCGCCGACGUGAGGAAGGAGGUCAAGCACGCCCUCCGCGGGCUGUCCCGCGCGCAGUCCGAGCUGGAGCGUGUCUACUCGGACGUGGCGGCUUUCCUCGCCGUGCCCCCGACGUCGUCCGGGAGAGCUGCCACGGCCGCCCAGGCAUGUGCCGAGGCCGCCGGCCACGCCCGUCGGGGCGCGGCGAACAUGGGCGCCGUCGUCGACGUCCUGCAGGGGCUCCGCGACGACAUCCUCGACGAACCACCUACCUGCCGCGUCAGGCACUUCUUCGGCUACGUCCCACCGCCGCCGGCGAUGGACGACGCAGCAGGCCAUGGAGCCGCAGCCGGAGACAGCUGGUCGAUCGCCGGCACGCCUGAAGUUUUGUUUUCGCCGCUUGAGAACUAG